CUAACUGCAACUCUUGAAUUUGAUUUAAAAAAAAAAGCAAUCAAAAAGUCACAUUGAAAAAACAAUGGUACUGUUAAAAACUACAGGCCUCAUACAGGCCCUAUAUAAGGAGAAAUAAAAAAAAAGUUAUAGGGGUCAGAAUAGGACAAAAUUUCCCCCAAAUAUGUGUAUCCUGUAAUGUAUGAAACAAAUAUAAUGCACCCACAGAAAGUAGCGCCAUUUUAAUAAAGCUUACAGAAUAAUCCCUUAGAUAACAGUCAUGCAGAAUAUGUUAAAAAGCUUUUUUAGGUUUCAGCCAAUCAGAGAGCAGCACUGCAGAAAUAGAACUCCCAGGAGGUAACAGCGUGUCACACAUGUGAUGUCAUAACCAUUGUCCACCAGAGAGCAGCACUGAGCAGAUAUAACACGGCUCCUGCUCAUUCUCCAUCAUCGAGGGGCUGAUGCUGGACACGGUAGGGACGCGGGAAUGUGAAGUCAAAAACAUGACUGUGACUGAUGCACUAUUUCCAGCAUGUGGAGUAGCAUUUCUGGACUUACAGAAGACGUUGGAUGACGGCCGAGAUUUCCGGACCUACAGCAAGGAGUUGGAUGAAGGCACAGCCCCUCGAAUCACGAACAUACACUGACACAUUGGCCCAAAUUCUAGAGGUAACCUCCUUUAGUAUGCCCAGAGGAAGGGCAAUACAGUAGCCAUGGAUUCCCUACAGGUUUCCUCCCCGCUGGAGGUUUUUCCUGUCCUGAGUUAGUUACUGUCCGCUCUUUGUGAGUGAUGGAGGUUACAUAAAAGCCCUACACAAACAUUUUUAUAAAUAAUAAAUAAAGUUUCCCCUUUUUUAAUCGUU